ACUUCCGAUGCUGGACCAGGUUUUCUCAGCUCAACAAUUGUAUGCUCAUUGCCUGAAGUUCCAAACACCUGCGGAGUUUUUUCAAGCGUGCAAAAGAUUUUCGCGGUGCGAAAAGCAAGAGUACAUAACCAUCGCUUCAAAGGUUUGUUAUAAGAAAAAAUUUCUAUAAAAAGAUUCGCACAGUAUUGCAUCUUGACACGUCGCCGAAGGUUGCUAUCUUACCCACACAUUCAAUAAUAUAACCAUGUUUAGCAACGCACCUGUACUUAUCUCCUGCGUUGUUUUUGUGCAUGCCCAAAUGCAAUCACCGAGCAGAUGUCAGAAACCGCCCGAUUCUGGUUCCCACCGAGCGCAUAAACCGAGUUGGUUUUUUGAUUUUCUAACAAAACAUUGUAAAAUGUUCAUUUAUGGCGGUUGCUCAGGGAACGAUCUCGAGAACCGAUUCGAUUCGGAAAAACUCUGCCAAGAAACAUGCCUACCCGGAAAAAAGGAAAAAGCUGUGUGCAGCCUAAGCCCAUACACUCAGAAAUGUGCGUUGGGUCCCCGAUGGUUCUUUAACUCAUCAAUGAGGCUGUGCCAGAAGGUUCCGCAUGGCUAUUGCGCAACCAGCGCUAACAGGUUUCCAAAAUGCGUGGCCUGCAUGACGAGAUGCACAAAUUACAAUGCAGCGAAAACAUGCCAUGCGAUCCUUAGGGCGAUAACAGGGCCCAAGAAGACGAAAUAAACAUCUACUGCCUGGUCAACCUCUGGAAAAUAUGUAGCACACUUUUAUCAACUGGACUCGAUGCUUUAUCGCAAAAAUAAAUUUUUCCGAAACAUCUCGUAUUAAGACAACGCUAUACUUCAGA